rnacentral:rRNA from 1 species
CAGCAGCCGCGGUAAUACGGAGGGWGCAAGCGUUGUCCGGAUUUAUUGGGUUUAAAGGGUACGUAGGCGGCCAAUUAAGUCAGUGGUGAAAGCCMGCRGCUCAACUGUUGAACUGCCAUUGAUACUGAUUGGCUCGAGUUCUGUUAAGGUAGGCGGAAUUGAUGGUGUAGCGGUGAAAUGCAUAGAUACCAUCAGGAACACCGAUUGCGAAGGCAGCUUACUAGGCAGAAACUGACGCUAAUGUACGAAAGCGUGGGGAUCGAACAGGAUUAGAUACCCUGGUAGUCCACGCCGUAAACGAUGCUCACUCGCUGUUGGCGAUACACAGUCAGCGGCCAAGCGAAAGCGUUAAGUGAGCCACCUGGGGAGUACGCUCGCAMGAGUGAAACUCAAAGGAAUUGACGG